AUUACCGAGUGAGGGCCCUCUGGGUCCAACCUCCCACCCGUGUUUAUUUUACCUUGUUGCUUCGGCGAGCCUGCCUUUUGGCUGCCGGGGGACGUCUGUCCCCGGGUCCGCGCUCGCCGAAGACACCUUAGAACUCUGUCUGAAGAUUGUAGUCUGAGAUUAAAUAUAAAUUAUUUAAAACUUUCAACAACGGAUCUCUUGGUUCCGGCAUCGAUGAAGAACGCAGCGAAAUGCGAUACGUAAUGUGAAUUGCAGAAUUCAGUGAAUCAUCGAGUCUUUGAACGCACAUUGCGCCCUCUGGUAUUCCGGAGGGCAUGCCUGUCCGAGCGUCAUUGCUGCCCUCAAGCACGGCUUGUGUGUUGGGCUCCGUCCUCCUUCCGGGGGACGGGCCCGAAAGGCAGCGGCGGCACCGCGUCCGGUCCUCAAGCGUAUGGGGCUUUGUCACCCGCUUUGUAGGACUGGCCGGCGCCUGCCGAUCAACCAAACUUUUUUCCAGGUUGACCUCGGAUCAGGUAGGGAUACCCGCUGAACUUAAGCAUAUCAAUAAGCGGAGGAAAAGAAACCAACAGGGAUUGCCCCAGUAACGGCGAGUGAAGCGGCAAGAGCUCAAAUUUGAAAGCUGGCUCCUUCGGGGUCCGCAUUGUAAUUUGCAGAGGAUGCUUCGGGAGCGGUCCCCAUCUAAGUGCCCUGGAACGGGACGUCAUAGAGGGUGAGAAUCCCGUAUGGGGAUGGGGUGUCCGCGCCCGUGUGAAGCUCCUUCGACGAGUCGAGUUGUUUGGGAAUGC
rnacentral:rRNA from 1 species